rnacentral:rRNA from 1 species
UGCGGUUAUACAAAAAUUAAAUUAAAUUUUUUUAGGAUUUAAUUAAUAAAAUUAAAAUUAAUAAUUUAAAUUUUAAAUUAUAAAGUGAAAUUUUAAAUUUAAUUAAAAUUUAUUUGUUUUUAUGAUAUUAAUAAAUUUUAUAAAAAACUAGGAUUAGAUACCCUAUUAUAAAAAUUUAAAUUUAAAUAAUCUUAAAAUAGUAUGUAAUUUUUUAUAGAAACUUAAAUAAUUUGGCGGUAUUUUAGUUCAUUUAGAGGAAUCUGUCUAAUAAUUGAUAAUCCACGAUUAAAUUUACUUAAUUUUUAAUUUUGUAUAUCGUUGUUAAAAAAAUAUUUUUAAAUAAUUUUAAUAUUUUAAAAUUUAUAUAAAAAAUUAAAUCAGAUCAAGAUGCAGAUUAUAAUUAAGAAUAUGAUGGAUUACAAUAAAUUUUAUUUUAUUUGAAUAUUAAUUUGAAAUAAAUUAAUUGAAAUUGGAUUUAAAUGUAAUUUUAUUUAUUUUAAUAAAAUGAUUAAAAAUUAAAAUAUGUACAUAUUGCCCGUCGCUUUCAUUAAUAAAUUGAAAUAAGUCGUAACAAAGUAGAGGUACUGGAAAGUGUUUCUAGAAAGAU